GGUGAGUAAUGUCUGGGAAACUGCCUGAUGGAGGGGGAUAACUACUGGAAACGGUAGCUAAUACCGCAUAACGUCGCAAGACCAAAGAGGGGGACCUUCGGGCCUCUUGCCAUCGGAUGUGCCCAGAUGGGAUUAGCUAGUAGGUGGGGUAACGGCUCACCUAGGCGACGAUCCCUAGCUGGUCUGAGAGGAUGACCAGCCACACUGGAACUGAGACACGGUCCAGACUCCUACGGGAGGCAGCAGUGGGGAAUAUUGCACAAUGGGCGCAAGCCUGAUGCAGCCAUGCCGCGUGUAUGAAGAAGGCCUUCGGGUUGUAAAGUACUUUCAGCGGGGAGGAAGGGAGUAAAGUUAAUACCUUUGCUCAUUGACGUUACCCGCAGAAGAAGCACCGGCUAACUCCGUGCCAGCAGCCGCGGUAAUACGGAGGGUGCAAGCGUUAAUCGGAAUUACUGGGCGUAAAGCGCACGCAGGCGGUUUGUUAAGUCAGAUGUGAAAUCCCCGGGCUCAACCUGGGAACUGCAUCUGAUACUGGCAAGCUUGAGUCUCGUAGA
rnacentral:rRNA from 1 species